rnacentral:rRNA from 1 species
GUCUACGGCCACACCACCUUGAACAAGCCCAAUCCUGUCUGAUCUUGGAAACUAAGCAGGGUCAAGCCUGGUUAGUACUUGGAAGGGAGACCACCUAGGAAGACCAGGUGCUAUAGGCA